AUGAUGAUGAAGUGGAUGCUGUUCUCAUUAUUCCUGCCUCAGGAUGUGGUGGACCACCAUCUGCAGAUGCCGUUCCUUAUUCCAGCAAGGCAGUCGUGUCUUCAAAAUUGUUUCUUCUUCUUCAGAAAGUCACCUACUCCUUCAGUGAUCAAGUUCCCGCCCACAUGAUAAGAUUUUAGGUGAGCAACACGUACUCUUUAGACUCUUUAG
rnacentral:lncRNA from 1 species